CUUUUUUGGCAGUGCACAGCCAGAGAACAACACAUCACACACAGGAAACAGUUGUGCUCAUGUGAUGGGGGCCUCAGCACUAGGAAGGAGUGGACUAUUGGCGCAUGUAGCAGCUUGAAUAAAUCUGAAAGUCACUACACUGCGUAAGAGAAGCCAAAUAAAAAAGUUCAUGCUGUGUACAGAGGGUGUUGAGAAUGCCUCCUACGUGACGGAAAGCAGAUCCGUGGUUCCCUGCAGACCGGCAGGAGCAGAUUCCAAAGGCACAGGAAGAAGCUUGCAGUACAAAGAUAAAAAUCUAAAGUGGUUGCUGUGGAGGACAGGGGUCAGUGGUGGAAGUGAGACUGAAAUGGACUCUGAAGUAAUAUCUGGACUUUGAAAUUGUUUCCUUAACGACAACAAAAAAGGGAGUAAUCCUACCUACUGUAAGAGUCAUGACUCUUGAUUGCAGCUGACAGAAGCUCAUGACAGCCUGGUUUAGAUAAAAGGGGAAAGGACGACUGGAAGAAUCUUGGAGUUGGGAAUAUGGCACAUAAUUGAAGGAAGAGCAAUAAAACUAUAGCAGCUGCUCCCAACCCCAGCAACUUUGCUAUCUUAGAACGGAUCACCAGUGAAAGAGGGGAAGUUGCUACUGUGAUGAAUUCUGCCAUGUGGUACCAGACUGCUGCCCAGACCACAGUGUCCUCUGCAACCCUGGUAACUCACAUACAGGCCUGAUUCCACCUACAGCAAAGCUGGAUGCUAUGGUUGGCAGAGGCAAGCCCCUUGCCUGCACUUCAGGCCAAAGCCGGGAUGUGGCCUAGAUGGUUCCUAAGGUCCCUGACAGUCCUGAGAUCUUUCAUCUUGUCUAUUUCAGGUCAAAGCUUCUCAGAUGACCAAGAUGGUGCUGCCGAUGGUGUUGAGGACGGAGAACCCACCAAGCCC
rnacentral:lncRNA from 1 species